ensembl:lncRNA
CCCAGACAAGGGGAAAGCUUGUCACAGCCUGCUCUAGGAGAAUUUGGGGCAACAAGGAGAAACAGGGGCAGGUUCAUGACUGGCUGGAUUCCUCCACUGCUCCAGUUAAUUCAGAGAAGCACUCAAACUAACAGCCUUUGAUGUCUCCAAAAGCACGAGGCUAAUGAUGAGAAAUCAGAGUUUUACGUAUUUGGAAAAAUCUGAAGAUAAAUAGAGGCAUUCUCUUCCUAAAGCGCUCACAGAUUUGCAGCUCUGGAAUCGUGUAUUUCGACUUGGGUUUCCCUCUCUCCCACCCCGCACCCUGACAAAUCAUCCCUGCCUUCUGAGACCGAUAAUCCCAGUUGGCUGCAAUGACACCUACUGGAUGUCAGAGCUGAUGGACUGCAGACCCUGCUGCUGCUGAGUUUAGCUAGCGUCACUGCCAAUGCAACGUUCAACACCACAGCCCUCUCCGGCACAGCUCCCGCCCACUGCAGCUCUUCCUGACUGCUUGGAUCUCGGUUACCCCUAUGAAGCAAUUUCCUGCCUCUUUCAGGCUCAUUUCUCAACUCCCAGGGAAAAAGGUGGGACCCAAUGUGAUAUCAUGGAAGACCAGUGGAGACCUAAUGGGAAUCCAGCCUGCAGACUGGCAUUUUUCAGAGUUGCCUGAGUUCACUAGGUUUGGAAAGACUCUUGACCAACACGUGUUGGCCACGGCCUCUGGAUGAGGAAAUCUCGGAGGAAAAUACUGAGAUGAACCUGAGCCUCUCUGGUGAAUUCUUCGUUUCAAUGGUGGAAUAAGUGGCCACAGAUCCAAAUGAGAAAUACAUUACCUAAGUUUAUUAGGAACUUAAUCAUCCAGUAAGAGACCAAGAACCUUGGAUGAACUUCUCAGUGACUCCAGCUCUAGCAUUCAGCAGAGGAAUUAAAAACAUAACAGGCUAAUGAAACACUGUUAGAAUCACCCACCCAUCAGUUAAGUAAAAUGCUCCUUCUUAAAGUUAUUCAAAACAAAAACAAACACAAAAGACUAAAAAAGAAAUUUAUCCUGAUUGGAAAGAUUAUGGUCUGUCUGAUCAUGAACAUAAACUCUAAGGUCUGCCUAGAGUCAAUACUGGCAAUAAGAUUCUUAGCUUUUAAAGAAGAUGAAUUCAGUAGUUGGAAUAAAACACAUGAAUUAUAAAUUUCUAUUAUGGAACAUCUGAG